UUUUUUUUUACAGCUUUACAGUAUCUGGCAUGCCCUGGUGAAUGAGCUAUUGCCUGGGGUUUCUGGGUUUUAUUUUUUUGAGAUACAGUUUUGCUCUUGUUGCCCAGGCAGAGGUUGCAGUGAGCCGAGAUCGCGCCACUACUCCAGCCUGGGCAACAAGUGAAACUGCAUCUCAAAAAAAAAAAAAAAAAAAAAAAACCACCAGUAUUUUUGUACAAUUAAAACAAAAAGCCCACUUUCAGAUGAAAACUUCAGGUGUAAAAGUACAAGAUAACGAUGAAUUCUGAAGGCCAGCAUAAUUCACACACUGGACUUCUUAAGAAAAAAAAAAAUCACAAUUUGAUGCUAAUUGGGAUUCGUUUGAUGAAAUCAGUGCCUAGUGAGUAGCGGGUAGGUCCGACAGCAGGAACAAGGCGGCAGCACUCCUGCAUGCUGGCUGGGAUGGCCUCGCCGCCAUCUCUUGUAUCAGACACCUGGCCAUGGGUGAGGAAAAGAAGUGCCUUUCUGAUCGUCCUGCAUAAAUGGAGAGGCCCAAAACCAAGAGUCAUUUCUCCCACAGAGAAAAGGGCUUUUCUUAAAGUUUUACCAGUCUGAAAGGGAUUGUUUGAUACCUGACAUUAAUGAACAGAGACUGAAGAAAGUGAAACAAACUUCUCAUUGUGCUUAAUACUCUAUUUCUAAACUUAUAAAACAAAAAGAGAAUGAUCUGUAGAGGCAAAAGAUAGUAACAGUCAUUGGAAGUGGCCUCUCGGAUCCUUACAUUUGUCUCUGUUUAUCCAAAGAGCUGCAGCGGUGGCGUAAGUAGUGUUGACCUGGACAUCACUUAAAGCUCUGGAACAGCAAAGGGCGUACAGUGGAGACGACUGCAAUACAUACUUAACAGUUUAAAAAUGUAUAAUAUUUGGGACAGGGAGAGGGGAGUGAAAAAAAUAAAGAAUAAAAUUAUUGGAAUCUAAAAUAAUGAUACAGGAAGUAAACGUAUUAUUAAUAUAGACAGAUCUGGUUCUGUCUGGAUGUUCUUGGCUUGCUCUCAGGAGCAACUGAGAAUUAGAGAAAAACUAGUUUUGUUUAACCAUAAAGUUGUUAUUCAAGGAGAUGUGAAGAUGACAAAGUUCAUCACUAAAAUUAAGAAGUCACUUCUCAGUAAAAAGCUAGUAUCUCAUUACCAUUCAGCUAUAUGAGAUACCAGACUACUACCUAUAUGUUGAUACAGGAAAGUAUCUGAAUUGGCAGAAAAUAAGCCCACAUCAGGCCCUUCCCCUUAGUUUCUUUGGGGCCCUUGACCAGAUCUUGAUAAGGUGUGAGAAACACAAGAGCUAAGGAUGGGCAUUCGAGUUGCAGGUAAGCCUCCGAAAAAAAGCUUACAAAUAUUUUUAAGCUGAUUUUUAAAAUAGCACACUAACUAUAAUGUUAAAUCACAUUUUAUACAUCUUAAUUGAGUAUAAUAAUGAACCGGUGGCUAAUGUAUCAUCUCUUCCUGGAAACUUUUCAGAAUCCCACCCCUAUCUAUCCCUUUCUCAAGAGUUUCUGUGCAUUACUGAGAAAUUCCUCUCCAUUUGUUAGGGUUGUUUUUGGCUGGUGGGUUUUCUGUGUCUCUUCAUCUCAUCAAACUAUUCAGUGUCUGAUUUUUUGACUUCUGCUUUGGCCCACAGAGAGUAACUUGGAUACUUACAGGUAGAAAAAGCUUUGAGGAAAUUUAGGCAACGUUGAUGGAUAAGUGUUUCCCCAACCUCCUUUCUAACGUAGAGGGUUAGUUAUAUAUCACACGCACACACCCGUCUGUCUCAGCUUUGCUUGUGGUGUCCUCAUGCCAAAAUACAUGAGGUCAGUUCCUCUUAUGUCCCAGCUCUUUUAAAACUACAGGAAUGCUGGGUGCGGUGGCUCACGCCUGUAAUCCCAGCACUUUGGUAGGCCAAGGCGGGCGGAUCAUGAAGUCAGGAGUUCAGGAUCAGCCUGUGCAAUGUGGUGAAAUCCAUCUCUACAAAAAAAAAAUUGUAAAAAGUAGCUGAGCUCAGUGGCACACGCCUGUAGUCCCAGCUACUCAGGAGGUUGAGGCAGGAGAAUCACUUGAGCCCAGGAGGCGGAGGCUGCAGUGAGCUGAGAUUGUGCCAUUGCAUUCCAGCCUGGGUGAUGGAAGUGAAACCUUGUCUCAAAAAUCCCAAAAAACCUACAGGAAAGCCACAGCCAGCAUGUGUUGACUUGUAUGUCGUUUCUCUCUCUUCUCAAAGCUGGAAUGCUGGGGCUACUUUUUACCUACCUUUUCUAUUCCCAAUCCCCUGCUCCUUUCCAUCCCUAGUGGGAGUAAUUUAAUUCUGCAACAAAUUCUCAUAGUUAAGGUAUUCAGCAAUAUAUCCCUGUAUCCUAGAAUUCUCUGUAAGGAAAAAAGUUGUGGUUGAGGGGAAGAGUUCUACAUUCAGUUAUUUUAGUUUAAUAUUACUAAGAACUUCAUUGGAACCCAGAACAAUCUUCCCUGCCGAAAGAGCUUUGUGCCCAUUCUCUGUGAAUGCUCUUUAGGAGAGAUGCUUAAGGAUUCUCUCCACACCUCCCCAUGUGUCCUUACUCAAGACCAGAAACUCUCAAGGUGAGAAGGUAGAUGAGAAUGACCUUCAGUAAUACCCUCUUUCCCGGUCCCCCAGUUCCCUCGAGCAGGGGCAGCAGACCCCACUGUGACCCACGGACCAAAGCCAGCCCACUGCCUUGUUUUUGUAUGUAGUCAAAAUGUACAAAAACAAGCCCUGCUCAUUUGGUUAGGUGGCAUCCAUGGCUGUUUCACACAACAACAGCAAAGUCGAGUAGUUGCGACAGAAACCAUAUGCCCUGAAAAGCUGAAAAUAUUUACUAUCUGGCCUUUACAGAAAAAUUGUGCCGACCCCUGCCCUGGAAGAGCACAGUACCUCCAUGCAUUGGUGUGGCGAAGACGACUGGGGAUUGCCGCUCUAAAACAUGUUUGGAUUAGGAAGCACGUUUAAGUAGGAGAAGCCUUCGUGACUUCUCUCUAGUGCCUUCGUGCCCUGUGUUGCCCACUGAAUUGCCCUGUAACACCUAAGUGUAGUGGUAGCAUUAAGGGAUAGCUUUUCAGCCCUCAAGGUUAUCAGGAGCAUUUGUAUCACUGCUAUAAAUAAAGUAGUAUCACUUGUCA
rnacentral:lncRNA from 1 species